GGGUUGUGAGGUUAAGCGACUAAGCGUACACGGUGGAUGCCCUGGCAGUCAGAGGCGAUGAAGGACGUGCUAAUCUGCGAUAAGCGUCGGUAAGGUGAUAUGAACCGUUAUAACCGGCGAUUUCCGAAUGGGGAAACCCAGUGUGUUUCGACACACUAUCAUUAACUGAAUCCAUAGGUUAAUGAGGCGAACCGGGGGAACUGAAACAUCUAAGUACCCCGAGGAAAAGAAAUCAACCGAGAUUCCCCCAGUAGCGGCGAGCGAACGGGGAGGAGCCCAGAGCCUGAAUCAGUGUGUGUGUUAGUGGAAGCGUCUGGAAAGGCGCGCGAUACAGGGUGACAGCCCCGUACACAAAAAUGCACAUAUUGUGAGCUCGAUGAGUAGGGCGGGACACGUGGUAUCCUGUCUGAAUAUGGGGGGACCAUCCUCCAAGGCUAAAUACUCCUGACUGACCGAUAGUGAACCAGUACCGUGAGGGAAAGGCGAAAAGAACCCCGGCGAGGGGAGUGAAAAAGAACCUGAAACCGUGUACGUACAAGCAGUGGGAGCACGCUUAGGCGUGUGACUGCGUACCUUUUGUAUAAUGGGUCAGCGACUUAUAUUCUGUAGCAAGGUUAACCGAAUAGGGGAGCCGAAGGGAAACCGAGUCUUAACUGGGCGUUAAGUUGCAGGGUAUAGACCCGAAACCCGGUGAUCUAGCCAUGGGCAGGUUGAAGGUUGGGUAACACUAACUGGAGGACCGAACCGACUAAUGUUGAAAAAUUAGCGGAUGACUUGUGGCUGGGGGUGAAAGGCCAAUCAAACCGGGAGAUAGCUGGUUCUCCCCGAAAGCUAUUUAGGUAGCGCCUCGUGAAUUCAUCUCCGGGGGUAGAGCACUGUUUCGGCAAGGGGGUCAUCCCGACUUACCAACCCGAUGCAAACUGCGAAUACCGGAGAAUGUUAUCACGGGAGACACACGGCGGGUGCUAACGUCCGUCGUGAAGAGGGAAACAACCCAGACCGCCAGCUAAGGUCCCAAAGUCAUGGUUAAGUGGGAAACGAUGUGGGAAGGCCCAGACAGCCAGGAUGUUGGCUUAGAAGCAGCCAUCAUUUAAAGAAAGCGUAAUAGCUCACUGGUCGAGUCGGCCUGCGCGGAAGAUGUAACGGGGCUAAACCAUGCACCGAAGCUGCGGCAGCGACGCUUAUGCGUUGUUGGGUAGGGGAGCGUUCUGUAAGCCUGCGAAGGUGUGCUGUGAGGCAUGCUGGAGGUAUCAGAAGUGCGAAUGCUGACAUAAGUAACGAUAAAGCGGGUGAAAAGCCCGCUCGCCGGAAGACCAAGGGUUCCUGUCCAACGUUAAUCGGGGCAGGGUGAGUCGACCCCUAAGGCGAGGCCGAAAGGCGUAGUCGAUGGGAAACAGGUUAAUAUUCCUGUACUUGGUGUUACUGCGAAGGGGGGACGGAGAAGGCUAUGUUGGCCGGGCGACGGUUGUCCCGGUUUAAGCGUGUAGGCUGGUUUUCCAGGCAAAUCCGGAAAAUCAAGGCUGAGGCGUGAUGACGAGGCACUACGGUGCUGAAGCAACAAAUGCCCUGCUUCCAGGAAAAGCCUCUAAGCAUCAGGUAACAUCAAAUCGUACCCCAAACCGACACAGGUGGUCAGGUAGAGAAUACCAAGGCGCUUGAGAGAACUCGGGUGAAGGAACUAGGCAAAAUGGUGCCGUAACUUCGGGAGAAGGCACGCUGAUAUGUAGGUGAAGUCCCUUGCGGAUGGAGCUGAAAUCAGUCGAAGAUACCAGCUGGCUGCAACUGUUUAUUAAAAACACAGCACUGUGCAAACACGAAAGUGGACGUAUACGGUGUGACGCCUGCCCGGUGCCGGAAGGUUAAUUGAUGGGGUCAGCGCAAGCGAAGCUCUUGAUCGAAGCCCCGGUAAACGGCGGCCGUAACUAUAACGGUCCUAAGGUAGCGAAAUUCCUUGUCGGGUAAGUUCCGACCUGCACGAAUGGCGUAAUGAUGGCCAGGCUGUCUCCACCCGAGACUCAGUGAAAUUGAACUCGCUGUGAAGAUGCAGUGUACCCGCGGCAAGACGGAAAGACCCCGUGAACCUUUACUAUAGCUUGACACUGAACAUUGAGCCUUGAUGUGUAGGAUAGGUGGGAGGCUUUGAAGUGUGGACGCCAGUCUGCAUGGAGCCGACCUUGAAAUACCACCCUUUAAUGUUUGAUGUUCUAACGUUGACCCGUAAUCCGGGUUGCGGACAGUGUCUGGUGGGUAGUUUGACUGGGGCGGUCUCCUCCUAAAGAGUAACGGAGGAGCACGAAGGUUGGCUAAUCCUGGUCGGACAUCAGGAGGUUAGUGCAAUGGCAUAAGCCAGCUUGACUGCGAGCGUGACGGCGCGAGCAGGUGCGAAAGCAGGUCAUAGUGAUCCGGUGGUUCUGAAUGGAAGGGCCAUCGCUCAACGGAUAAAAGGUACUCCGGGGAUAACAGGCUGAUACCGCCCAAGAGUUCAUAUCGACGGCGGUGUUUGGCACCUCGAUGUCGGCUCAUCACAUCCUGGGGCUGAAGUAGGUCCCAAGGGUAUGGCUGUUCGCCAUUUAAAGUGGUACGCGAGCUGGGUUUAGAACGUCGUGAGACAGUUCGGUCCCUAUCUGCCGUGGGCGCUGGAGAACUGAGGGGGGCUGCUCCUAGUACGAGAGGACCGGAGUGGACGCAUCACUGGUGUUCGGGUUGUCAUGCCAAUGGCACUGCCCGGUAGCUAAAUGCGGAAGAGAUAAGUGCUGAAAGCAUCUAAGCACGAAACUUGCCCCGAGAUGAGUUCUCCCUGACCCUUUAAGGGUCCUGAAGGAACGUUGAAGACGACGACGUUGAUAGGCCGGGUGUGUAAGCGCAGCGAUGCGUUGAGCUAACCGGUACUAAUGAACCGUGAGGCUUAACCUUACAACGCCGAAGCUGUU
rnacentral:rRNA from 1 species